AUGUCGCCGUGUGCCGCAUAGCCAGAAAUCGGCUAUCUAAAGACCGGAUUUUGUUUCUUAAACGCUUCACUAAAGACCAGACUGGUAUGCACGCAGUGCAAUCCUAUCUCUUUAGCUUCUCUUGUUUCGUAGAGAACAACUCGAAGACUACAGCUAGAGUCGUUGCUGUUUGUGAAAUCUGCAUGUUUACAGCAGCGAUUAAACGCGGCCGUGGGAACGUUGACGUCGACAGGCUUCGAUUUCAUGCAAUCAUGAUCGACGUCGUACGAUCUAGUGUUGUGCGCUCGCGUCACAACGGAGACUGAAUGCGAACGUACUGGUUGGAUGCGAACGUACUCGGUGCUGUUUGCUGUUUUUUGACGUCUAAAGCGACCGCAGACAGUCCAGAGUGAGCGAUAUCUGGAAGGGCUUGGAGCUGCAUGGCGUCAUCGAAACAAGAUGAGUCGUCUUUCUGUGUUUGGGUAAUCAUUUCAUGUGUUUUGUGCAUUGCUUUGGUGAACACAUACAGUAGCAACCAGGAAGAGACCACGUUGACAGAAAUGCUGGAUGUCCCAAGGUGUGUAACUUCCAGAGUAUGUGGAGCUUCAGGGAGACUACUUCCAUCCAAUUGUUUUCUCUUGCCCAACAAGGUGAUAGCAUCUGGUGGUUUCAUCAAACACAAAAGCACGUCGACAUGUCAGACAGUUAUGUUUCAUUGCAUGAUUUAUGAUCAUGCAUGCAGCGCUACAUGAUCUAGAAUUUAGACAGUUAUUACAACAUGCAGUUAUUUAUUUCA